AAGAGGAGAUAACAGAUUUUUUACACGACUACGCAUCUCUUUUCAGUGAUUACUUAUAUGCAACGGUAGAAUAUUACUCUGAGAACACCACGUUAAUCCCCACCAUUUAUUCAUAUGAGGAGUCGGUGGGAUCGCCCCUCCGGUGCCACCUCCCCCUCGUCGUCCUCCUCAGCCUCCUGGGUUUCCUGCUAUGACUCCCCUGCACCGUGCUCCUCCUCAGAAGACAUGACGGCUUUGAUGAAGAAAAGAACAUCGUCACCGCGUUGGAAACUACAUCCUCUAAACGAAGCGGUCAUCUCCAUUUUUAGUACAGUUGUGACUUUAUGUACAAAGUUUUCAAUAGAUGGAUGAUGCCGUCCUGAGCCAUAAAAGUUGUGCAAACACUGAAGAGCUUUGUAAUGACUAGGUUCUUUCCUAUUUCCUAUUAUUCUGUUGUAAAUAUGAACUGCUGCCAAUAAAAUGACUAACAAUCGGUG